rnacentral:rRNA from 1 species
UAGAGUUUGAUCAUGGCUCAGAUUGAACGCUGGCGGCAGGCCUAACACAUGCAAGUCGAGCGGUAGAGAGAAGCUUGCUUCUCUUGAGAGCGGCGGACGGGUGAGUAAUGCCUAGGAAUCUGCCUGGUAGUGGGGGAUAACGUUCGGAAACGGACGCUAAUACCGCAUACGUCCUACGGGAGAAAGCAGGGGACCUUCGGGCCUUGCGCUAUCAGAUGAGCCUAGGUCGGAUUAGCUAGUUGGUGGGGUAAUGGCUCACCAAGGCGACGAUCCGUAACUGGUCUGAGAGGAUGAUCAGUCACACUGGAACUGAGACACGGUCCAGACUCCUACGGGAGGCAGCAGUGGGGAAUAUUGGACAAUGGGCGAAAGCCUGAUCCAGCCAUGCCGCGUGUGUGAAGAAGGUCUUCGGGUUGUAAAGCACUUUAAGUUGGGAGGAAGGGUUGUAGAUUAAUACUCUGCAAUUUUGACGUUACCGACAGAAUAAGCACCGGCUAACUCUGUGCCAGCAGCCGCGGUAAUACAGAGGGUGCAAGCGUUAAUCGGAAUUACUGGGCGUAAAGCGCGCGUAGGUGGUUUGUUAAGUUGGAUGUGAAAUCCCCGGGCUCAACCUGGGAACUGCAUUCAAAACUGACUGACUAGAGUAUGGUAGAGGGUGGUGGAAUUUCCUGUGUAGCGGUGAAAUGCGUAGAUAUAGGAAGGAACACCAGUGGCGAAGGCGACCACCUGGACUAAUACUGACACUGAGGUGCGAAAGCGUGGGGAGCAAACAGGAUUAGAUACCCUGGUAGUCCACGCCGUAAACGAUGUCAACUAGCCGUUGGGAGCCUUGAGCUCUUAGUGGCGCAGCUAACGCAUUAAGUUGACCGCCUGGGG